GGUAUCAGAAGUGCGAAUGCUGACAUAAGUAACGAUAAAGCGGGUGAAAAGCCCGCUCGCCGGAAGACCAAGGGUUCCUGUCCAACGUUAAUCGGGGCAGGGUGAGUCGACCCCUAAGGCGAGGCCGAAAGGCGUAGUCGAUGGGAAACGGGUUAAUAUUCCCGUACUUGGUGUUACUGCGAAGGGGGGACGGAGAAGGCUAUGUUGGCCGGGCGACGGUUGUCCCGGUUUAAGCGUGUAGGCUGGUUUUCCAGGCAAAUCCGGUCACUUUAACACUGAGGCGUGAUGACGAGGCACUACGGUGCUGAAGCAACAAAUGCCCUGCUUCCAGGAAAAGCCUCUAAGCAUCAGGUAACAUCAAAUCGUACCCCAAACCGACACAGGUGGUCAGGUAGAGAAUACCAAGGCGCUUGAGAGAACUCGGGUGAAGGAACUAGGCAAAAUGGUGCCGUAACUUCGGGAGAAGGCACGCUGACACGUAGGUGAAGUGAUUUACUCAUGGAGCUGAAGUCAGUCGAAGAUACCAGCUGGCUGCAACUGUUUAUUAAAAACACAGCACUGUGCAAACACGAAAGUGGACGUAUACGGUGUGACGCCUGCCCGGUGCCGGAAGGUUAAUUGAUGGGGUCAGCGCAAGCGAAGCUCCUGAUCGAAGCCCCGGUAAACGGCGGCCGUAACUAUAACGGUCCUAAGGUAGCGAAAUUCCUUGUCGGGUAAGUUCCGACCUGCACGAAUGGCGUAAUGAUGGCCAGGCUGUCUCCACCCGAGACUCAGUGAAAUUGAACUCGCUGUGAAGAUGCAGUGUACCCGCGGCAAGACGGAAAGACCCCGUGAACCUUUACUAUAGCUUGACACUGAACAUUGAGCCUUGAUGUGUAGGAUAGGUGGGAGGCUUUGAAGUGUGGACGCCAGUCUGCAUGGAGCCGACCUUGAAAUACCACCCUUUAAUGUUUGAUGUUCUAACGUGGACCCGUGAUCCGGGUUGCGGACAGUGUCUGGUGGGUAGUUUGACUGGGGCGGUCUCCUCCUAAAGAGUAACGGAGGAGCACGAAGGUUGGCUAAUCCUGGUCGGACAUCAGGAGGUUAGUGCAAUGGCAUAAGCCAGCUUGACUGCGAGCGUGACGGCGCGAGCAGGUGCGAAAGCAGGUCAUAGUGAUCCGGUGGUUCUGAAUGGAAGGGCCAUCGCUCAACGGAUAAAAGGUACUCCGGGGAUAACAGGCUGAUACCGCCCAAGAGUUCAUAUCGACGGCGGUGUUUGGCACCUCGAUGUCGGCUCAUCACAUCCUGGGGCUGAAGUAGGUCCCAAGGGUAUGGCUGUUCGCCAUUUAAAGUGGUACGCGAGCUGGGUUUAGAACGUCGUGAGACAGUUCGGUCCCUAUCUGCCGUGGGCGCUGGAGAACUGAGGGGGGCUGCUCCUAGUACGAGAGGACCGGAGUGGACGCAUCACUGGUGUUCGGGUUGUCAUGCCAAUGGCACUGCCCGGUAGCUAAAUGCGGAAGAGAUAAGUGCUGAAAGCAUCUAAGCACGAAACUUGCCCCGAGAUGAGUUCU
rnacentral:rRNA from 1 species